rnacentral:rRNA from 1 species
UACGGAGGGGGCGAGCGUUGUCCGAAGUUACUGGGCGUAAAGCGCGUGUAGGCGGGUUGCCAAGUCCGCUGUGAAAGCCCGAGGCUCAACCCUCGGAUGUCGGUGGAUACUGUCGGGCUUGAGUACGGAAGAGGCGAGUGGAAUUCCUGGUGUAGCGGUGAAAUGCGCAGAUAUCAGGAGGAACACCAAUUGCGAAGGCAGCUCGCUGGGACGUUACUGACGCUGAGACGCGAAAGCGUGGGGAGCAAACAGG